rnacentral:lncRNA from 1 species
AAGCUUGCGUCGAGGCGAAGCGAAGUCGUGAAGGUGCCGGGUCUAUCCGAUGUACGAGGAAAAAGUUGGACGAUUUUACCCCUGGGGGUAUUUGAGUUGUGUGCUUCAUGUAAGAGCAUUCUGGUCAUUUUCCGGAUGCCUAUAUAUUUGUGGGAGGGCUGUGGGAGGCAGUCAUCUCUUUGGACUAGUUUGGUGGUGGGUUUCUCAUUUGUUUGUGAGAGCUUUUGGUAGAGGUGUGAGGGAAGAGAAAUGAGGGAUCAUUGUGUUGAUCUUUUUGUCAUCCUAGUUUUGAUUGUGCUUAGGAGUAUCUUAUAACCGGACAUAGUGAUGUAAUUCAAGGAUCAGUUUUGUGCUAAAUUACUUCCUUUUUUCUAGAUCUGUGUUUUUCUUUU